rnacentral:rRNA from 1 species
AGCGAACGCUGGCGGUAGGCCUAACACAUGCAAGUCGAACGAAGUCUUCGGACUUAGUGGCGGACGGGUGAGUAACACGUGGGAACGUGCCUUUAGGUUCGGAAUAACUCAGGGAAACUUGUGCUAAUACCGAAUGUGCCCUUCGGGGGAAAGAUUUGUCGCCUUUAGAGCGGCCCGCGUCUGAUUAGCUAGUUGGUGAGGUAAAGGCUCACCAAGGCGACGAUCAGGAGCUGGUCUGAGAGGAUGACCAGCCACAUUGGGACUGAGACACGGCCCAAACUCCUACGGGAGGCAGCAGUGGGGAAUCUUGCGCAAUGGGCGAAAGCCUGACGCAGCCAUGCCGCGUGAAUGAUGAAGGUCUUAGGAUUGUAAAAUCCUUUCACCGGGGACGAUAAUGACGGUACCCGGAGAAGAAGCCCCGGCUAACUUCGUGCCAGCCGCCGCCGUAA